UCCCUGGUGGCUCAGAGGUUAAAGCAUCUGCCUGGAAUUCGGGAGACCCAGGUUCGAUCCCUGGGUCGGGAA
rfam:TPA: Bos taurus chromosome 11, whole genome shotgun sequence.